rnacentral:rRNA from 1 species
CCGUUGCCUGCAACGGCGAAUUGUAGUCUCGAGAAGCGUUUUCCCGGCGGAUCCUACCUGCCAAAGUUGCUUGGAACAGCACAUCGGAGAGGGUGACAAUCCCGUUCGUGGCAGGGCGGACCGCACACGAUACGCUUUCCAUGAGUCGGGUUGCUUGGGAAUGCAGCCCAAAAUUGGUGGUAAACUCCAUCUAAAGCUGAAUAUUGGCACGAGACCGAUAGCGAACAAGUACCGUGAGGGAAAGAUGAAAAGAACUUUGAAAAGAGAGUUAAAAAGUGCGUGAAACCGUUGGAGGGGAAGCGGAUGGAGUUAGCAAUGCUCCUGCGAGAUUCAGGCGAUCGCUUGGCUUGACGUGCUGCUGGCGGAUCUGAAUGGACUGUCGUUGCACGGCCUCGCCUCGUGUCCGCCGCACUUCUCGAAGGGGUGCGUCAACAGCUGCUGGUCUGCCGGGCUACACGGCAUCUGCGGAAGGUAGGCGUCCGGUUCGCCGGGCGUUGUUAUAGCCGCUAGUGUCCCAGCUCGGCUCCGGCAGAGGUGAGCGGUGCAUGCUCUUUACGGGCUGGCGUCCUGUUCCGUUCUCCGAGUCGUCCGGGGUGAACUGCGUGCAGUUCGUCUCGGCAGGCGAAGAGGCGUGCAGUCAACGCACACGAUGCACCAUGGUUGUUGGCGGCCAUAUGGCUUUAUCCGACCCGUCUUGAAACACGGACCAAGGAGUCUAACAUGUGCGCGAGUCUUGGGGUGACCGAAACCCAGAGGCGCAAUGAAAGUGAAGGCUGCCUGGCAGCUGAGGUGAGAUCGCAGUCUCGCUUGCGGGACGGCGCGCAUCAUCGACCGACCUAUUCUACUCUUAGAAAGGUUUGAGUAAGAGCGUACGUGCUGGGACCCGAAAGAUGGUGAACUAUGCCUGAGUAGGGUGAAGCCAGAGGAAACUCUGGUGGAAGCUCGUAGCGAUUCUGACGUGCAAAUCGAUCGUCGAACUUGGGUAUAGGGGCGAAAGACUAAUCGAACCAUCUA